rnacentral:ribozyme from 13 species
UUUUUUUUUUUUUUUUUUUUUUUUUUUUUUUUUUUUUUUUUUUGGGGCAAGACAAGGGAGAGCGACUGAGGUGC